GAAGCACACAGUCCACCCCAGGAAAGCUGUGAUGGCUGUGGACUAAAGAACAGACAAAUAUGAAUGGGAAACAGAUUCCAAAUACAUUCAUGAAAAGAGUAACAGUGGCUGUCCCUGAUGACAGAGAGAAACUCUCCUCCUGGCCUUAAAGGAGCCAACUGGUAUGUGUGGAGAAGGUCACAGGGGAAGGAACAGUGGGAAGCCUCUAAAUACUGAGCAUGGGACUUGAUGGACUGCCAGCAAGAAAGUGGGAAGCUUCGUCCUAUAACUGCAAGGAACUGAAUUCUGCCAACAACCAGUGAGCUUGGAAGGGGCCUCAGAUGAGAUCAGACCAUGGCUGACACCUUAAUUUCAGCCUCAUGAAACCCUGUUCCCAAAGCCCACCUACUCUAUGCUGAACUCCUAACCAUGGAAACUGUGAGAUAA
rnacentral:lncRNA from 1 species